rnacentral:rRNA from 1 species
GCUAUUGGAGUUCGAUUAAGCCACGCGAGUCGAGAGUCCUCGGGACUCGGCGUACCGCUCAGUAACACGUGGGUAACCUGCCCUAUGCUGGGGAAUAACCUCGGGAAACUGAGAAUAAUGCCCCAUAGCCCACUACGCCUGGAACGGUGAGUGGGUCAAAGCUCCGGCGGCAUAGGAUGGGCCUGCGCCGUAUCAGGUUGUAGGGGGUGUAAAGUACCCUCUAGCCAUCAACGCGUACGGGUGUUGGGAGACAUUGCCCGGAGAUGGAUUCUGAGACACGAAUCCAGACCCUACGGGGUGCAGCAGGCGCGAAAACUUGGCAAUGCGAGCAAUCGUGACCAGGGAACUCCAAGUGCGUAGGGUAAGACCUACGCUUUUCUUGACUCUUCAAAGGUCUUGGAAUAGGGGGUGGGUAAGGACGGUGCCAGCCGCCGCGGUAAUACCGGCGCCUCAAGUGGUAGUCGCUUUUAUUGGGCCUAAAACGUCCGUAGCCGGUCUGGUGCAUUCGUGGGUAAAUCAACCCGCUCAACGGGUUGAAUUCUGCGAGCACGGCCAGACUUGGGACCGGGAGAGGUGUGGGGUACUCUCAGGGUAGGGGUAAAAUCCUGUCAUCCUGAGAGGACCACCUGUUGCGAAGGCGCCACACUAGAACGGAUCCGACGGUCAGGGACGAAACCUAGGGGCACGAACCGGAUUAGAUACCCGGGUAGUCCUAGGUGUAAACGCUGUGGACUUGAUGUUGGGGGCGCUCCGAGCGCUCUCAGUGUCGAAGCGAAGGUGAUAAGUCCACUGCCUGGGGAGUACGGUCGCAAGGCUGAAACUUAAAGGAAUUGGCGGGGGAGCACUGC